CCAACAGAUCCUGCUGCCCACUUUUUCGUGGCUGCUGGCUCCCUGUCAUCAGGACCAAGAUUUGGGGUUCUUCAGGGUGUGAGUCACUCUAAUAAAGGCUGAGUUAUACACUGCACUGGAAACCCUGCACCAAUACCUGUACAGCCAAGCAGUAAAUACAAGGAUGACCAAUGAGAGAGCUGCUGUGUAUACUUCUGUAAAAUGCUGAAGUAAGAUUCCUGCAGUUAAUUGUAUGGAAGAACAAAAUCUGAAGACUUCAGUACUCUCCAAAUGUACUUUACCUGGCAGUUUGAAUCCCAUCAUCCCUGCUCCUCCCACCUUUAUUCCAACUGGCUUUGUUGCUGUCUCCUCAUCCAGUUUUGGUGGUGCAGAAGUGGGGCUUAAGGAAGAUAUAUGGAGGAGAAUGCGAGGGUCUUUGGGUGCGCGAGUGUGGCGAUUCUUAAGAGCGAUUCGGAACUUUUGUGCAGUGAAAUCCAAUGAGGGGGAAUCCAGCUGUAAAGGAGAUUCUCUCAAUUUCGUAUCAUUAAUAAAAGAACACUGUGUCCUAUG